GUGCCAGACUCCUACGGGAGGCAGCAGUGAGGAAUAUUGGUCAAUGGGCGAGAGCCUGAACCAGCCAAGUCGCGUGAGGGAGUACUGCCCUAUGGGUUGUAAACCCCUUUUGUCGGGGAGCAAAAGCCGGACGUGUCCGGCUGUGAGAGUACCCGAAGAAAAAGCAUCGGCUAACUCCGUGCCGGCAGCCGCGGUAAUACGGAGGAUGCGAGCGUUAUCCGGAUUUAUUGGGUUUAAAGGGUGCGCAGGCGGAUUUUUAAGUCAGCGGUCAAAUCGUGGGGCUCAACCCCAUCCAGCCGUUGAAACUGCCGGGCUAGAGUGGGCGAGAAGUGCGCGGAAUGCGUGGUGUAGCGGUGAAAUGCAUAGAUAUCACGCAGAACUCCGAUUGCGAAGGCAGCGCACCGGCGCCCUACUGACGCUCAGGCACGAAAGCGUGGGUAUCGAACAGGAUUAGAUACCCUCGUA
rnacentral:rRNA from 1 species